GGGAGAUUAGUUAAGUGGUAUAACUGCGGUCUCCAAAACCGCUAUCGAAGGUUCGAUUCCUUCAUCUCCCGCUA
rnacentral:tRNA from 1 species